GAUGAACGCUGGCGGCGUGCCUAAUACAUGCAAGUCGAGCGAACGGACGAGAAGCUUGCUUUUCUGAUGUUAGCGGCGGACGGGUGAGUAACACGUGGAUAACCUACCUAUAAGACUGGGAUAACUUCGGGAAACCGGAGCUAAUACCGGAUAAUAUUUUGAACCGCAUGGUUCAAAAGUGAAAGACGGUCUUGCUGUCACUUAUAGAUGGAUCCGCGCUGCAUUAGCUAGUUGGUAAGGUAACGGCUUACCAAGGCAACGAUGCAUAGCCGACCUGAGAGGGGGGUCCGCCAACAUGGGACUGAGACCAGGGCCAGACUCCCAAGGGAGGCAGCAGGGGGGAAUUUUGCGCAAUGGGCGGAAGCCUGAACGAGGCAAGCCGGGUGGGGGGAGAAGGUCUUUGGGUUGUAAAACCCUUUUGUUGGGGAAGAAAAGAAGGGGGAGAAAACGGCGCAAUUCUGACGGUACCCAAAGAAAAAGCCCCGGCUAAAUUCGUG
rnacentral:rRNA from 1 species